UACGUAGGGUGCGAGCGUUAAUCGGAAUUACUGGGCGUAAAGCGUGCGCAGGCGGUUGUGCAAGACAGAUGUGAAAUCCCCGGGCUCAACCCGGGAACUGCGUCCGAUACUGGAAGGCUUGAAUCCGGGAGAGGGAUGCGGAAUUCCAGGUGUAGCGGUGAAAUGCGUAGAUAUCUGGAGGAACACCGGUGGCGAAGGCGGCAUCCUGGACCGGCAUUGACGCUGAGGCGCGAAAGCCAGGGGAGCAAACGGG
rnacentral:rRNA from 1 species